rnacentral:rRNA from 1 species
UACAGAGGUCUCAAGCGUUGUUCGGAUUCAUUGGGCGUAAAGGGUGCGUAGGUGGCGCCAUAAGUCGGGUGUGAAAGUCAAAGGCUCAACCUUUGAAAGCCGAUGGAUACUGUGUGGCUAGAGUACGGAAGAGGCGAGUGGAAUUCCUGGUGUAGCGGUGGAAUGCGCAGGUAUCGAGAGGAACACCUGCGGCGAAGGCGGGUAGCUGGGCCGACACUGACGCUGAUGCGCGAAAGCCAGGGGAGCGAACGGG